rnacentral:rRNA from 1 species
GAAUGAAACAAGUUUCCGUAGGUGAACCUGCGGAAGGAUCAUUG